rnacentral:rRNA from 1 species
UACGGAGGGAGCUAGCGUUGUUCGGAAUUACUGGGCGUAAAGCGCACGUAGGCGGCUAUUCAAGUCGGGGGUGAAAGCCCGGGGCUCAACCCCGGAACUGCCCUCGAAACUAGAUAGCUAGAAUCUUGGAGAGGCGAGUGGAAUUCCGAGUGUAGAGGUGAAAUUCGUAGAUAUUCGGAAGAACACCAGUGGCGAAGGCGACUCGCUGGACAAGUAUUGACGCUGAGGUGCGAAAAGCGUGGGGGAGCAAACAGG